rnacentral:lncRNA from 1 species
GAUGGUUGUUGGUCAUUUAUGGAGGUUGUUUGUGGUUUGUUAGUAUCCAUGGUCAAAGAAGAAACAAAAGAAAUUAGAUUUAGGGAUCUUCCUAAUUCCUCUCACCCCUCUAUUGUUUCUCUCAUAUCUAGUGUUAGGAGAUAAAACCAGGGGAAAAGGUGGGAAUAAAAAGAACUCAAAGUAGCAAAGACUAGCCACCAGUAUCUACCACCAAUGCUCUUCAAUAUAUUCUGUAAGGAAUAAAAUCACCUCAGCCGAUUGGCAUUUCUGUUGACAUAUGGAGGUCUGCAGUGGGAUGUUCUGGCAUUGAGAAUUGCCAUGCACUGAUGGCUGCUGGUGCUGCGGAUUGUUAGCAUCUACAAUCUUCAUUGAUCUCUACAGAAUCUGUACAUGACUUAAAAUCUUACUAUGUUCCAAAGCUUGGAGCAAAAGGAAAUACAAACACUGAAAGUAUGAAACUAUAAAUAUCAUAAAGAAAACAGCUAAAGAAGGAAUUGUAUUUCAUCUUGAUGUGAACUGAAAUGGACGUGGAUAUACCCUGGAGUCGGUUAUUAAUUCAGACAGAGGAGGCCACCAUCAACUGAUCUUUACAACUGAUCUUUGAAGGACAGGAGCGUGAAGCUAACUUCGGUUUUACUUGGCUAAAGUGUUUCAUUGACAAGAAUGAACAAAUGCCAUAUAGAUCUAGACUUCAGCUACACUUUAAAGGGAAUGACAUCAUCCCAGAGUACGCUGCUGCUAUUUUAGUCCUGGUGGCAAUACAUGGGUAAACAUAACGGCAGCAUUUUGAGCUAUUUUCUGAGAAGCUCAUAUGAACUUGGAGCUCAGAAGAGAAAACAUACCUCAAGUGGCCAUUCUGUUAUGAGGAGUGGCUUUUGAGUCUUCCUUGCUCACUAGACUUUCUUGGACCUAUUACUAAACAGGCUUUUUUGCCCACACUAAAUGUUAUCGCUUGAUUUUUCAACCUUAACGUGAAGAACCAGCCACUGGAAUGAAAACACUGAUCUAAGACUUUGUCCUUAUGCUCCUUGAGAGCUUUCAUUUGAUCCUCUUUUGAUACAGCCAUUCCUUCAACCAGACAUAUGUCACUAAAGGCUGAUCAGAAGACGGAAGGUUAUGACACAGUUAAGCUCCUGCUCCAGCACCCUGUGUGCCUGCUUGCUGCCAUGCUGCACAUCAUGAUGGUCAUGGAUUCUAGACUCUUCCUCUGAAAAUCCUUUCUGAAGUAAUUCUUUUUAUACUUUAGUGAACCCAGGAAAUGGAACAAUGACUGAACUGUGCCAACAGUCUACUGUCCUCAUGCCCCUUUAAAGAAAUAUCAGCAGUAUCAAUCUACAGAGAGAAAGGACAUUUUGGUUCCUGGUUUCAGGGUCAGUAGUCCAUGAUCAAGAGGACCCAUUGCUUUUUAUGUGGUGAGCAGGACAUCACCGCCAGAAUGAAUGCAGAGAGAAACAAGGCAUCUUUACAUCUAUCUGACUGCUGGAGGACAAGAGAAAAUGGAUGAGUUAGGAGUCCUACAGUUUCCCAGUUGCUCUAUUUGAAUAGAAUUUUGUAUUGAGUUUUAAGAUAACUAUUUUGUCCUUUGGAAUUUUGGAGAAAUGACUAAGUGGCAUUUCAGGAUGCACAGACAUUGUUGAAGGCUCUGGAAUAUUAUGGACCCUGCUUUUUUUGAGGCUUCUUUCUGUUUUUUAAAAUGAUUUUUACUUUGAUUCAUGAAAUUCUGGGACUUCAAGACAGCGUAUUUGAUUGGGCCUACUAUAUUGCAUAGAUUGGACUGUAUAUAAACUUUGUGUAUAUCCCAGCUUGGCCUCAAAUUAGUGAUCUUUCUGCCUCACCCUCCUCACUACUGAGACGAUGGGUAUGUGUAUCACACCUCGCUCAGUGAACGCUUUAUAUCUGAGGAUAUAUGUCCUUCAGUUUUAAAUGGAUUUAUGUAUUUAUAUAAGAGGGUUUUCCUUCUUUUUCUCAGUUCAUUUCCUAGGAGUGUUACUACACAGACAAUGAAAAUCUUAUUACUAUUUUUAUAUGUUGUAUAAUUUGGUUGUAUUGCUUUAUAGUCAGUGAGAUUUCUAUGAUUUUUGUUACAAAUAUAAGUUUAUAUAUCAGGUGCUUUCCUUGUUAAAAAUUUAAAGACACCAUUUUCCACUGCUCCAAUUUCAAGGCAUCCUUUCCUGUUGCUUCUCCUCCUGUCUGAUGGUCUUGUGCAUUAAUACCACUUUAAACACAUUUACUAUUUUGUGUUAGCAGGGUUUUGAUAGGGGCAAGAAAUGAAUACACAAUCCACCUGACAGUUCUAGUAAUGGGAUCAUUCUGGGCAAAGUUUAUGGUAGAAUACAACUGGAAAUUGGAUGUCACAAAAGCCUAGUGACAAGUUAUGUUUACAUUUAUUUAAUUUCAGUAUUUAUAUUGCUUGGUGCCAUUAAGUGAAACAGCUCCAGGGCUGCCGAAGAGCCCCAGGAAAGCUGUAGACAAUUUCUCUUUGUGUUUCU